AAAGACUGUAGGGUAUGGGGAAUAGGAGGACUAAAGACUGUAGGGUAUGGGGAAUAGGAGGACUAAAGACUGUAGGGUAUGGGGAAUAGGAGGACUAAAGACUGUAUGGGGAAUAGGAGGACUAAAGACUGCAUGGGGAAUAGGAGGAUUAAAGACUGUAGGUAUGGGGAAUAGGAGGACUAAAGACUGUAGGUAUGGGGAAUAGGAGGACUAAAGACUGUAGGGUAUGGGGAAUAGGAGGACUAAAGACUGUAUGGGGAAUAGGAGGACUAAAGACUGUAGGUAUGGGGAAUAGGAGGACUAAAGACUGUAGGUAUGGGGAAUAGGAGGACUAAAGACUGUAGGGUAUGGGGAA